rnacentral:lncRNA from 1 species
GAAAUUAUUUUGACACCUAACUAUAAUAGAGUUCUAGAACUUACAAUAUUCAUACGUAGACUCUAUUUUCUACGCACAAACUAUUCUUUCGUUCUUCGUAGAAAAUGUGCAUAUAUAGAUUACAUUGAUGAUUUUUAUUUUUUCUUACUUAAAUAUUAAUAACAGAAGAAAUUAUUUUUCGUAGACGGGUUGGACCAGGUUCAUUGGAUCAGACCGACCGUCCCUAGAGCAAGUGGCAAAGGGCUUGGUGGUUGGUAUCCGAGACCCAAGUUUGAAUCCUAGUUGAUUCAUACUUCCAGCUAAGUUUAUUUCUAAAAUGAAAUAAACGAAGCGGAUAGCAUGUUAUCUAUCUCUCUCGAAAAAAAAAAAAAAAAAAUAAAAUUGNAUAGAAAUAUUCAAAUCACGUGAAAUUUUGAUAGAAAAUUCUUUAUACUAUAUAAAACAAGAUCAAUAUAUUUGAUUUAAAAUUUUAAUGUCAUAUUAUUACAUUUUGUAAGAUUUUUAUUUUCAGCCGUUGAUUUUGAGCCCCUUCGUUCACUAGGCAAAUAAUAUCGUAAAAUCAUAAAAUUUAUUUUCUAGAUACUUCAAAUACUUUAGAUCAAGUUUAACGAAGCCGAUUGACGAUUCGAAAGCCGCAACAUCGAAAACGAGCUGAAAGCACGGAAGGCUCCGUGAGCAUAGUAACCCCACUCUAUAUAUAUAUAUAUAUAUAAUAU